AGGGAAUCUUCGGCAAUGGGGGCAACCCUGACCGAGCAACGCCGCGUGAGUGAAGAAGGUUUUCGGAUCGUAAAGCUCUGUUGUAAGUCAAGAACGGGUGUGAGAGUGGAAAGUUCACACUGUGACGGUAGCUUACCAGAAAGGGACGGCUAACUACGUGCCAGCAGCCGCGGUAAUACGUAGGUCCCGAGCGUUGUCCGGAUUUAUUGGGCGUAAAGCGAGCGCAGGCGGUUUGAUAAGUCUUGAA
rnacentral:rRNA from 1 species